UAAUACGGAGGGUGCAAGCGUUAUCCGGAUUCACUGGGUUUAAAGGGUGCGUAGGAAGGCAGGUAAGUCAGUGGUGAAAUCUCCGGGCUUAACCCGGAAACUGCCUCUGAUACUAUCUGUCUUGAAUACCGUGGAGGUGAGCGGAAUAUGUCAUGUAGCGGUGAAAUGCUUAGAUAUGACAUAGAACACCAAUUGCGAAGGCAGUUCACUACACGAAUUAUUGACUCUGAGGCACGAAAGCGUGGGGAGCAAACAGGAUUAGAUACCCUGGUAGUCCACGCCCUAAACCAUGGAUACUCGACAUACGCGAUACACAGUGUGUGUCUGAGCGAAAGCAUUAAGUAUCCCACCUGGGAAGCACGACCGCCAGGUU
rnacentral:rRNA from 1 species